GAUGAACGCUGGCGGCGUGCCUAAUACAUGCAAGUCGAGCGAACAGAUGAGAAGCUUGCUUCUCUGAUGUUAGCGGCGGACGGGUGAGUAACACGUGGGUAACCUACCUAUAAGACUGGGAUAACUCCGGGAAACCGGGGCUAAUACCGGAUAAUAUUUUGAACCGCAUGGUUCAAUAGUGAAAGACGGUUUCGGCUGUCACUUAUAGAUGGACCCGCGCCGUAUUAGCUAGUUGGUAAGGUAACGGAUUACCAAGGCGACGAUACGUAGCCGAGCUGAGAGGGUGAUCGGCCACACUGGAACUGGGACACGGUCCAGACUCCUACUGGAGGCAGCAGUAGGGAAUCUUCCGCAAUGGGCGAAAGCCUGACGGGGCAACGCCGCGUGAGUGAUGAAGGUCUGCGGAUCGUAAAACUCUGUUGUUAGGGAAGAACGAAUUCGUUAGUAACUGAACAAGUCUUGACGGUACCUAACCAGAAAGCCACGGCUAACUACGUGCCAGCCGCCGCGGUAA
rnacentral:rRNA from 1 species